rnacentral:lncRNA from 1 species
GUCUGAAAAAUACUUAUACUCAUAUGUUUCACGAGCAACUCUUGACAGCAGAACACUCAGCAGGUGAGUCACCUGUUUAGUGACGAUGCACCCCUACAUCUCACCUAUAUGCCAUACAAGUGUCACCACACUCUUUGAUUAAGAGAACAACCAAUCUAUAUGGCACACAAUGACCUCCACUCAAUAAACAUCAUCAUCUCG